UAGUCAACAAAAUCGUGUCCGCGUCGGAAGUGACGGAUUGGGAGUACUGGGACGACCUUGCGCUCGAGUCUUGGAAGGACCCAGGAAAGAGCAAGCAAAGCAUAAGCCGAAAGCUUUUUCAAAGGGUAUCUAACCCUUCUUAGAUUCUCUGCGAAACCAGGAAGAAUUGAAGAUGCACAGGUCUUCAAGCGCUUCCCGAGUUUCCUCCAUAGAGUUCUUCUCGUCGACUUCGCUGCAAUCUUCCUCUGACACCGCCGACCAACAACUACCAACGUACGAUCCCCUCUCCCAGGCGGCCAAGAAAGAACGGUCCCGUCUCAGAUCAGCAGAGUUCGCCGUCCACGCCAUCCCUCUCGUGCUCCUGCUCUGCGCCAUCAUCCUCUGGUUCUUCUCCACACCUGAAUUAAGGGCUUGAAGAUUGCUGCAGCGUCAUGAUGGGAGUACAGAGAUCAAUUUGCUUGGGAAUUGGAGCCGAUGGAACUAAUUGAUCCAAACCAGACAGUUUUAGCCUCAAGUCACAAGCACCCGACAUGUGUUAGGAACCUGUUGAGAAUUAUUGUAGUGUAACGAUGAAACGAAUGAGAGAUGGAACGAAGGUUGUUGUAAUAAAAUGAUAGACGCCUGAAAGAUGUUUGUGAAAAGGACUCUUAAGAGUCAUAAGCUUGCAUUGAUAAAAAGGGAUAAGAG